GUCGCACGAGAAAGUGGAGCAAUCCAUGAGUACAGUGGCGUACGGGUGAGUAACACGUGGAUCAUCUACCUCUUAGUGGGGAAUAACCCUGGGAAACCGGGGCUAAUACCGCAUAAGCUCGAGAGAGGAAAGCAGCAAUGCGCUGAGAGAGGAGUCCGCGGCCGAUUAGCUAGUUGGCAGGGUAAACGCCUACCAAGGCAAAGAUCGGUAGCCGGCCUGAGAGGGCACACGGCCACACUGGCACUGAAACACGGGCCAGACUCCUACGGGAGGCAGCAGUGGGGAAUCUUGCACAAUGGGGGAAACCCUGAUGCAGCGACGCCGCGUGAGCGAUGAAGCCCUUCGGGGUGUAAAGCUCUUUCGGCAGGGACGAUCAUGACGGUACCUGCAGAAGCAGCUGCGGCUAACUACGUGCCAGCAGCCGCGGUAAUACGUAGGCAGCGAGCGUUGUUCGGAGUUACUGGGCGUAAAGGGUGUGUAGGCGGUUGCUUAAGUUUGGUGUGAAAUCUCCCGGCUCAACUGGGAGGGUGCGCCGAAUACUGAGUGACUCGAGUGCGGGAGAGGAGAGUGGAAUUCCUGGUGUAGCGGUGAAAUGCGUAGAUAUCAGGAGGAACACCGGCGGUGUAGACGGCUCUCUGGACCGUAACUGACGCUGAGACACGAAAGCGUGGGUAGC
rnacentral:rRNA from 1 species